rnacentral:misc_RNA from 1 species
GCACCAGUUGCACAAUUCCACUACUUCCCUUGCCAAUGACCUUAACGGUUUCUAAGUCAGCCAAAGCCAACUGGUGGUCUGAUGGCUUUAUGGGGGGUGCAGCUUGAGUUUCGUUUUGCGAGACAAUUAGAAUUCCAUCGCGAUUCACGCGCAGAUCACCAUCGACAAACGUACCGCUUUCGGUUAGGAACUCAGCGAUGGAAACUCCAUGAGGAGAGGGAGGGAGAGAGAGCUUGAGGUCGACUUUACGGCCGUUUAAGGCUCCCAUUCCGUUCCUGUUCAUUAAUUGGUGAAAUCUGAAGAGUG